CCCGCUGUACCCACCUCCAGUCCCGCCCGUCAAUCACGGCGUCUCCUCCUUGCCUUCCCCUCGCGAUGCGCCUCCCCACGAUGCCUCCGCCACCACAGACGCCGCCUCCUCCGCUCCAGGCCUGCACCGCCGCCGCCGGGGAUGAGGCUGCCUCUCUCCGCGCGCGCCUCGCCGACGACGAGACCGAUGCCGCCACGCUGUGUUCCCGCGCCGAGCGACUCCGGCAGUGGUGGCAGGCCCCUGCUCCGAGGCCGCGACAAGGAGGAGGAGCGGGCGCCCACGACGCGAGUGGGGAGUAGGAGAAGGACGCUCGUGGGGAGCAGUUGGACCAUGCCUCUGACACCACCGACGCCAAGGCCCUCGCGGCCGCCGCCGCGCUCUACGCUCAGCGGCGCCAGAAGCACGACGACGACUUCUACACGGCUACCUACACCUCCUCCACCUUUGACUGCCACCAUGAUUAAUCCCAGCUUGACAGUGAAAGUUGAGGGCAAGAAAAAGAUGAUGAAAUAGCAGCAUCAGUUAAAACAUUCAGUGCUAGGCACCCAAAUUGACUUUCAGGGACGACGAGGGGCUGUACCUUGCCAGCUAUUCGGACGAGCAGCUGCUGAUCUACAUCCCCUCUGUGCAUGUGUGUUGUGGCUACAUUGGUGCCCAAUUGAUAGGUUAAGUUGAGUGGGUAUGUGUAGUACUUUCCUAAGUUAGAUGCUAGCACAAGAGAACAUCAUUCAUGUUAGUUCCUCAAGGGUCCUGGUUAGCAGCAAUUUAUGUUCUUCGAGGAAUUGGUCUAUUAGGGGAAAUUGGAUCCUCUUCUGUCUUAUUAUAUGCUUGCCCACCUCCAAUCAAGCAGUCUGAAGAAUCAGAUAAUUCCCUAGAGGCUCUCCGUGUUCUUGAUAUCAUACUGAGGCAGCAUUCUGCGAAAUAGGGCCGUCUUAUAGUCAGGCAGUCAUUUUUCCAUAACAACCCUUCAAACUUUAUUUAGUUGGGUGGUGGUGUGAUGGGUUGUCGUGGAUUUCAUUCAAGCUUUCGUGGCACACAGUGGAUUCCCUGAACAUUGGUAUGUAUUCAUCCUGCACCAGUACCAUGUAACCAGAUUGUCAACAACAAUGGUUGUGAAGCCAGGUCCAAUUUUUUAUUUUCUUCUUGCUAACCAGAAAAUCGACAUCCUAGCAGAAUUGACUGGCAAAAGGCCAAGCGUGCUCUCAGGAACUUGAGGAUCAAAACAAUUCAUUCGAACGCAUAAUUCAAGAUUGUUGGUCUUAGUGAACAGAAUUGCAAGGAACAGACGAGAGAACAUAUUUUCUUACCAUCUUUAUUUUUCUCAGUGUUUUGCUUGGUAUUUGAAAAAAGUGUAUAUCAAGGAAUAUACUUAUUUUUGAAUUAUUUAAUCGUAGACAUGUAUAUCAAGCCAUCUACAUUUAGAUUUUGAUGUUUUAUUUUUGAUAAAAUGGUUGGAUCAA